rnacentral:rRNA from 1 species
AGUGAACGCUGGCGGUAGGCCUAACACAUGCAAGUCGAACGGCAGCACAGUAAGAGCUUGCUCUUACGGGUGGCGAGUGGCGGACGAGUGAGGAAUACAUCGGAAUCUACUUUUUCGUGGGGGAUAACGUAGGGAAACUUACGCUAAUACCGCAUACGACCUACGGGUGAAAGCAGGGGAUCUUCGGACCUUGCGCGAUUGAAUGAGCCGAUGUCGGAUUAGCUAGUUGGCGGGGUAAAGGCCCACCAAGGCGACGAUCCGUAGCUGGUCUGAGAGGAUGAUCAGCCACACUGGAACUGAGACGCGGUCCAGACUCCUACGGGAGGCAGCAGUGGGGAAUAUUGGACAAUGGGCGCAAGCCUGAUUCAGCCAUACCGCGUGGGUGAAGAAGGCCUUCGGGUUGUAAAGCCCUUUUGUUGGGAAAGAAAAGCAGCAGGUUAAUACCCCGCUGUUCUGACGGUACCCAAAGAAUAAGCACCGGCUAACUUCGUG